AAUUAAGGUGGUAACGCGAGCUUUUCGUCCUU
rnacentral:sRNA from 1 species